rnacentral:rRNA from 1 species
GAUGAACGCUAGCGGCAGGCCUAACACAUGCAAGUCGAGGGGUAACUAGAGUGAUAGCAAUAUUACUUUGGCUAGACCGGCGCACGGGUGCGUAACACGUAUGCAACCUACCUUAUACUGGGGAAUAACUUCGAGAAAUCGGCGCUAAUACCCCAUAACAUUGCGAAGAGGCAUCUCUUUGCAAUUAAAGCUCCGGCGGUAUAAGAUGGGCAUGCGUCCAAUUAGCUAGUUGGUGAGGUAACGGCUCACCAAGGCUACGAUUGGUAGGGGUUCUGAGAGGAUGAUCCCCCACACUGGUACUGAGACACGGACCAGACUCCUACGGGAGGCAGCAGUGAGGAAUAUUGCGCAAUGGACGAAAGUCUGACGCAGCCAUGCCGCGUGCAGGAUGACGGCCCUAUGGGUUGUAAACUGCUUUUGUACGGGAAUAAACCCUUCUACGUGUAGGAGGCUGAAGGUACCGUAAGAAUAAGCACCGGCUAACUCCGUGCCAGCCGCCGCCGUAA